CCUAGUAGCUGUAUCACCCUGCAGCUAGCAAACCAGUGAAGGUAAGCAGGCGUGAGCCUGGUCAGUACCUGGAUGAGAGACCUCCUGGGAAAAACUAAUGUUGCUGCUGGAA
rnacentral:rRNA from 1 species